rnacentral:rRNA from 1 species
UACAGAGACUGCAAGCGUUAUUCGGAUUCACUGGGCGUAAAGCGUGCGCAGGCGGUGAGCUGUGUCCGAUGUGAAAGCCCCGGGCUUAACCUGGGAAUGGCAUUGGAAACUGGCUCGCUGGAGUGUGGCAGAGGGGGGUGGAAUUCCGCGUGUAGCAGUGAAAUGCGUAGAGAUGCGGAGGAACACCGAUGGCGAAGGCAGCCCCCUGGGCUAACACUGACGCUCAGGCACGAAAGCGUGGGGAGCAAACAGG